GAAACACGGACCAAGGAGUCUAGCAUGUGCGCGAGUCAUUGGGACACGACUAAACCUAAAGGCGCAAUGAAAGUAAAGGCUCGCCUCGCGCGAGCCGAGGGAAGAUGGGCGCUCCGUGUUCGCGCGGUCGCCCCGCAUUCCCGGGGCGUCUCGUUCUCAUCGCGAGAAGAGGCGCACCAAGAGCGUACACGCUGGGACCCGAAAGAUGGUGAACUAUGCCUGGUCAGGACGAAGUCAGGGGAAACCCUGAUGGAGGUCCGUAGCGAUUCUGACGUGCAAAUCGAUCGUCGGAACUGGGUAUAGGGGCGAAAGACUAAUCGAACCAUCUAGUAGCUGGUUCCCUCCGAAGUUUCCCUCAGGAUAGCUGGCGCUCGUCGCCAACGAGUCUCAUCCGGUAAAGCGAAUGAUUAGAGGCAUUGGGGCCGAAACGGCCUCAACCUAUUCUCAAACUUUAAAUGGGUGAGAUCUCCGGCUUGCUCGAACCGAUGAAGCCGCGAGACUCGGAUCAGAGUGCCAAGUGGGCCAUUUUUGGUAAGCAGAACUGGCGCUGUGGGAUGAACCAAACGCCGAGUUAAAGCGCCUAAAUCGACGCUUAUGGGAUACCAUGAAAGGCGUUGGUAACUUAAGACAGCAGGACGGUGGCCAUGGAAGUCGGAAUCCG
rnacentral:rRNA from 1 species